UUGACUCGGCCUUCCAUCCUUCCAAGGUGGGUAAAACGAGGACCCAGAUUGUUGGGGGCAAUUAUGCUGACUCUGCAAACUGCUUAGAGAGGGCUGUGAAGCACUGUGAAGCUGUAUAUAAGUUUAAGGGCUAUUGGUAUUGCUAUAAUAAUUAACAUAA